UACGUAGGGGGGCAAGCGUUGUCCGGAUUUAUUGGGCGUAAAGAGCUCGUAGGCGGCUUGUCACGUCGAUUGUGAAAGCCCCGAGGCUUAACCUCGGGUCUGCAGUCGAUACGGGCUAGCUAGAGUGUGGUAGGGGAGAUCGGAAUUCCUGGUGUAGCGGUGAAAUGCGCAGAUAUCAGGAGGAACACCGGUGGCGAAGGCGGAUCUCUGGGCCAUUACUGACGCUGAGGAGCGAAAGCGUGGGGAGCGAACAGG
rnacentral:rRNA from 1 species